rnacentral:rRNA from 1 species
UACGUAGGGUGCAAGCGUUGUCCGGAAUUAUUGGGCGUAAAGAGCUCGUAGGCGGUUUGUCGCGUCGAAUGUGAAAACCCGGGGCUCAACCCCGGGCCUGCAUUCGAUACGGGCAGACUAGAGUUCGGUAGGGGAGUCUGGAAUUCCUGGUGUAGCGGUGAAAUGCGCAGAUAUCAGGAAGAACGCCCGUGGCGAAAGCGGCUCUCUGGACCGGCAUUGACGCUGAGGCGCGAAAGCUAGGGGAGCAAACGGG